rfam:Trichobilharzia regenti genome assembly, scaffold: TRE_scaffold0069002
ACGAGUCCCAAAUAGGACGAAAUGUGCAUCCUGGAU